rnacentral:rRNA from 1 species
CAGGACGAACGCUGGCGGCGUGCCUAAUACAUGCAAGUCGAACGGUCUUUCUAUGGAAGCUUGCUUCCACUGAGAAGAUAGUGGCGAACGGGUGAGUAACACGUGGGUAACCUGCCCAUAAGAGGGGGAUAACAUCCGGAAACGGGUGCUAAUACCGCAUAGUUUUCUUGAUCGCAUGAUCGGGAAAGGAAAGGCGGCCUUUGUGCUGUCGCUUAUGGAUGGACCCGCGGCGUAUUAGUUAGUUGGUGAGGUAACGGCUCACCAAGACGAUGAUACGUAGCCGACCUGAGAGGGUGAUCGGCCACAUUGGGACUGAGACACAGCCCAAACUCCUACGGGAGGCAGCAGUAGGGAAUCUUCCGCAAUGGACGAAAGUCUGACGGAGCAACGCCGCGUGAGUGAAGAAAGGUUUUCGGAUCGUAAAACUCUGUUGUCAGAGAAGAACAAGUUGGAGAGUAACUGCUCCAGCCUUGACGGUAUCUGACCAGAAAGCCACGGCUAACUACGUGCCAGCCGCUGC